GUGCCGGCCGCCGCGGUAAUACCGGCAGCCCGAGUGACGGCCGGUCUUAUUGGGCCUAAAGCGUCCGUAGCUGGGUCUGAAAAUCCAUCGGGAAGUCCACUCGCUCAACGAGUGGCCGUCCGGUGGAAACUCCACACCUUGGGACCGGAAGGCUCGAAGGGUACGGCCGGGGUAGGAGUGAAAUCCUGUAAUCCCGUCCGGACCACCGAUGGCGAAAGCACUUCGAGAAAACGGAUCCGACAGUGAGGGACGAAAGCUAAGAUCGCGAACCGGAUUAGAUACCCUUGUAGUCC
rnacentral:rRNA from 1 species